UACACAUGCAGUCGAACGGUAACAGGUCUUCGGAUGCUGACGAGUGGCGAACGGGUGAGUAAUACAUCGGAACGUGCCCGAUCGUGGGGGAUAACGAAGCGAANGNUUNCUAAUACCGCAUACGAUCUACGGAUGAAAGCAGGGGACCGCAAGCCCUUGCGCGAACGGAGCGGCCGAUGGCAGAUUAGGUAGUUGGUGGGAUAAAAGCUUACCAAGCCGACGAUCUGUAGCUGGUCUGAGAGGACGACCAGCCACACUGGGACUGAGACACGGCCCAGACUCCUACGGGAGGCAGCAGUGGGGAAUUUUGGACAAUG
rnacentral:rRNA from 1 species